rnacentral:rRNA from 1 species
CGGCGAGUGAAGCGGUAGUAACUGCGAGUGAAGCGGUAACAUCUCAAAUUUGAAAUCUGUCUCUUGCGGAGUCCGAGUUGUAAUUUGUAGAAGAUGCUUUGGGUUGUGGGUUCGGCUUAAGUUCCUUGGAACUGGACGUCAUAGAGGGUGAGAAUCCCGUAUGUGGCCGAGGUCUGCGCGUAUGUAAAGCUCUUUCAACGAGUCGAGUUGUUUGGGAAUGCAGCUCUAAAUAGGUGGUAAAUUUCAUGUAAAGCUAAAUAUGGACCAGAGACCGAUAGCGCACAAGUAGAGUGAUCGAAAGAUGAAAAGCACUUUGGAAAGAGAGUUAAACAGUACGUGAAAUUGUUGAAAGGGAAGCGCUUGCAACCAGCCUUGGGCGCUGCCGAUCACCUUGAGUUUUCUCGAGUGCACUUGACAGCGCACAGGCCAGCAUCGGUUCGGGUGGCUGGAGAAAGGCCGUAGGAAUGUGGCUCUCUUCGGGGAGUGUUAUAGCCUACGGUGCCAUGCAGCCCAGCCGGACCGACGUUCGCGCCUUCGGGCUAGGAUGCUGGCGUAAUGGUUGUAAGCGACCCGUCGUGAAACACGGACCAAGGAGUCGAACAUCAUGGCGAGUGUCGGGUGGUAAACCCAUACGCGGAAUGAAAGUGAACGUAGGUGAGAACCCCUCGGGGAGCAUCAUCGACCGAUCCUGAUUUUCAGA